UCGUUCCUACGGGACCAGCAGUCGGGAAUAUUGCGCAAUGGAGGAAACUCUGACGCAGUGACGCCGCGUGCAGGAAGAAGGUUUUCGGAUUGUAAACUGCUUUAGAUAGGGAAGAAAAAAAUGACAGUACCUAUAGAAUAAGCUCCGGCUAACUACGUGCCAGCAGCCGCGGUAAUACGUAUGGUGCAAGCGUUAUCCGGAUUUACUGGGUGUAAAGGGAGCGCAGGCGGUGCGGCAAGUCUGAUGUGAAAGCCCGGGGCUCAACCCCGGGACUGCAUUGGAAACUACCGAACUAGAGUGUCGGG
rnacentral:rRNA from 1 species